rnacentral:lncRNA from 1 species
UAAGAUUUCAAAGGGUCCAAUGUAUCUGGGGUUUAAUUUUCCCCUUCUGCCGAACCUACUAAUUCCCUUAAAGGGGGUGACUUUAAGAAACACCCGGUCACCUUUCUCAAAGGCCAGGUCCCUCCUUCGGGUAUCAGCAUAGCUCUUUUGCCUACUCUGAGCUGUCUGGAUGUUCUUCUUGAUCUUAACUAUCUUGGACGUGGUUUCUUCCACUAAAUCCGGGCCAAACAAUCUUCUAUCGCCCACUUCC